rnacentral:rRNA from 1 species
UACGGUCAAAUCUCGCUGAAACACCGGUUCUCGUUCGAUCACCGAAGUUAAGCAUCGUAGAGCCAGGUCAGUACUUAGAUGGGGGACCGCUUGGCAACACCUGGUACUGUAAG